CUGAUAACAAUUUUCCUGUCCUGCUAAGCAUUCAAAAUGUAACACGUCUUUUGGGUGUCAGGGGGAAAAUUAUGGAGUAAAAAGUACAUUAUUUUCUUUAUUUUACAUUAUUUUCUUUAGGAAUGUAGUGAAGUAAAAGUAUACGUUGUCAAGUACAGAUAUCCCCCCCCAAAACUACUUAAGUUGUACUUUAAAGUAUUUUUACUUCACACCACUUUAGCAGACUCAGAAACAAACAAAUGGAGAGAGUGGCAGGUAGUAGAGGUCAUGACAUAAACUAACCAAUGGAGAGAGUGGCAGGUAGUAGAGGUCAUGACAUAAACAAACCAAUAGAGAGAGUGGCAGAUAGUAGAGGUCAUGACAUAAACUAACCAAUGGAGAGAGUGGCAGGUAGUAGAGGUCAUGACAUAAACAAACCAAUAGAGAGAGUGGCAGGUAGUAGAGGUCAUGACAUAAACUAACCAAUGGAGAGAGUGGCAGGUAGUAGAGGUCAUGACAUAAACAAACCAAUAGAGAGUGGCAGGUAGUAGAGGUCAUGACAUAAACAAACACAUUUAGAGUUUGGGACUAAAAGGUUCUGUCUGCAUAAAGAUUAUUCUGAGAUAAUUGGCUUUACAUUUUCCUCGUUGAUUUGAAUGGUGUCAGCUAUUUUUAUAUUGUAUUCUUUUGAACUUAACAUGAAUU
ensembl:lncRNA